rnacentral:rRNA from 1 species
CCGGCACGGGUGAGUAACACGUAUGCAAUCCACCUGUAACAGGGGGAUAACCCGGAGAAAUCCGGACUAAUACCCCAUAAUAUGGGCGCUCCGCAUGGAGAGCCCAUUAAAGAGAGAAUUUUGGUUACAGACGAGCAUGCGCUCCAUUAGCCAGUGGCGGGGUAACGGCCCACCAAGCUCGAUGGAUAGGGGUUCUGAGAGGAAGGUCCCCCACAUUGGAACUGAGACACGGUCCAA